rnacentral:lncRNA from 1 species
CCCAAACUGUUCCUAAAAGAUCUCUUUCGUUCUGUAAUGCUUCCUCCAAAUAUAGCUCUCUGCCUGAACAAACAGAUUUUUUCAAAGCUCUAAUUACUUCCGGUGGCCCUUGGAUGAAUUGCUUUAGCCAUUCUUGUGCCUCUUCUAGAGAUUUAGUUUCAUCUGAAGACUGCAAGACCUCUUCAACCAUUCCUAUGUUUAGAGCAUUUUUUGAAUCCAGUUUAAGGGCCCCACUCAACACUUUGAG